rnacentral:pre_miRNA from 1 species
UGGGAGGCAUUGAUAGUGUUGACAGAAGAUAGAGAGCACAGAUGAUAAGAUACAAUUCCUCGCAGCUUCUUUGCAUCUUACUCCUUUGUGCUCUCUAGCCUUCUGUCAUCACCCGUUAUUUGCCAUCACCCA